AUUUCCAAAGCCCCUGCUGGCCGGGCCUUCACUCACCUCUAGCCUGGCCACGGCAAAUGGUGUGGCCCCCACCAUGUGCUGAGGGGUGACCCCGCUGACCCGGGUUCUGUAAUCGGUGAUCUCUCCCUCAGGCCGGAUGAACUUGUCGUACAGCACAGCACCGUGGACGUUCACGAGGCUGCAACGAGCCAGGCCACUCUCCCGGUGGGGCCCCAGCCCCACCAUCUCGCAGUCCAUGGCCACCACCUCACGGCUCCCAGCCAUGUUCCUUGGGGACCCUCAGAGAUGCUGGAGAGAGGGAGAAUAAACAUCCCCAGGACUGGAGCUCAGGGAAUGUCC
rnacentral:lncRNA from 1 species